CCUACGGGUGGCUGCAGUGGGGAAUAUUGCUCAAUGGGGGAAACCCUGAAGCAGCCACGCCGCGUGGAGGAUGAAGGUUUUCGGAUUGUAAACUCCUUUUGUUAGAGAAGAUAAUGACGGUAUCUAACGAAUAAGCACCGGCUCACUCCGUGCCAGCAGCCGCGGUGAUACGGAGGGUGCAAGCGUUACUCGGAAUCACUGGGCGUAAAGAGCGCGUAGGCGGGAUAGCAAGUCAGUUGUGAAAUCCGAUGGCUUAACCAUAGAACUGCGUUUGAAACUGUUAUUCUAGAGUAGGGGAGAGGUAGGUGGAAUGCGUGGUGUAGGGGUAAAAUGCGUAGAGAUCAAGAGGAAUACUCAUUGCGAAGGCGACCUACUAGAACAUAACUGACGCUGAUGCGCGAAAGCGUGGGGAGCAAACAGGAUUAGAUACCCGGGUAGUC
rnacentral:rRNA from 1 species